UUAGAUUAUUAUUGCCACGAGGAGUAUAUAUAGUUGGGGAUUUUAUGACAAGAAAAGAGGAUUUACAAGUGGUGAAACCUACAGCUGUAGG